GACGAACGCUGGCGGCGUGCUUAACACAUGCAAGUCGAGCGGUAAGGCUCCUUCGGGGGUACACGAGCGGCGAACGGGUGAGUAACACGUGAGUAAUCUGCCCCUCACUUUGGGAUAAGCCUCGGAAACGAGGUCUAAUACCGAAUACGACCACUUCGGGCAUCCGAUGGGGGUGGAAAGUGUGUCGGUGGGGGAUGUGCUCGCGGCCUAUCAGCUUGUUGGUGGGGUAAUGGCCUACCAAGGCUUCGACGGGUAGCCGGCCUGAGAGGGUGACCGGCCACACUGGGACUGAGACACGGCCCAGACUCCUACGGGAGGCAGCAGCGGGGAAUAUUGCGCAAUGGGCGAAAGCCUGACGCAGCGACGCCGCGUGGGGGAUGACGGCCUUCGGGUUGUAAACCUCUUUCAGCAGGGACGAAGCCUUUGGUGACGGUACCUGCAGAAGAAGCACCGGCCAACUACGUGCCAGCCGCCGCAGUAACAC
rnacentral:rRNA from 1 species